AUGCACGCUUUUUAACGACACACACAUCUCGACACAUGAAUUAGGGUCCUAAUUAAUUAUUAUUAGGUGAUUCAUGGGAGGUGUGGAGGCCUAAC
rnacentral:sRNA from 1 species